AACGAACGCUGGCGGCAUGCCUAAUACAUGCAAGUCGAACGCCUGUAGCAAUACAGGAGUGGCGGACGGGUGCGUAACGCGUGGGAACCUGCCCCUUGGUACGGGACAACUCCGGGAAACCGGGGCUAAUACCGUAUAAGGCCUGAGGGCGAAAGAUUUAUCGCCGAGGGAUGGGCCCGCGUCCGAUUAGGUAGUUGGUGGGGUAACGGCCCACCAAGCCGACGAUCGGUAGCUGGUCUGAGAGGACGGCCAGCCACACUGGGACUGAGACACGGCCCAGACGCCUACGGGAGGCAGCAGUAGGGAAUAUUGGACAAUGGGGGCAACCCUGAUCCAGCAAUGCCGCGUGAGUGAUGAAGGCCUUAGGGUUGUAAAGCUCUUUCGCCGGGGACGAUAAUGACGGUACCCGGAGAAGAAGCCUCGGCUAACUCCGUGCCAGCCGCCGCGGUAAUAC
rnacentral:rRNA from 1 species